rnacentral:rRNA from 1 species
CCUACGGGUGGCAGCAGUGAGGAAUAUUGGUCAAUGGGCGCGAGCCUGAACCAGCCAAGUAGCGUGAAGGAUGACUGCCCUACGGGUUGUAAACUUCUUUUAUAAAGGAAUAAAGGACGGCACGUGUGCCUUUUUGAAUGUACUUUAUGAAUAAGGAUCGGUUAACUCCGUGCCAGCAGCCGCGGUAAUACGGAGGAUCCGAGGUUUAUCGGGUUUUAUUGGGUUUAAGGGGUCCGUAGGCGGGCUGUUAAGUCAGCGGUAAAAGCCCGGGGCCAAACCCCAGCGAGCCGUUGAAACUGGCAGCCUUGAGAAGUGGAGAGGUAUGCGGAAUGCGUGGUGUAGCGGUGAAAUGCUUAGAUAUGGCGAAGAACUCCGAUUGCGAAGGCAGCAUACCGACGGGCCACUGACGCUGAGGCUCGAAAGCGUGGGUAUCGAACAGGAUUAGAUACCCUUGUAGUC